AAAACAAUAUUAACAUUUACAUUUGGAAUAAAACCCACAAUAACUGUUGCUCCAUUUGAAAUCGUCUUUGCCUUCAGCCAACACCCUAUCUCCACCGCCGUUCCUCCACCGUGCUCCACCGCCGUUCCUCUACCGUGCUCCACCGCCGGUAACGAUCGCCUUCCUGUGUUAUCCAAACAUCUGCGCCAGUUAAGCAAAACUCUUCUUCACUAAUCUUAUGGAGAAAGAGGUGAAAUUCUUCAUUCUCGAUUGGAUUGGUGUGUUGAGAUCUUUUUUUUUUGUGUUUGUGAGUAUAAAUGUUAAAAUGAUUGAGAUGAAAUGAUUCAAUUUGGGAAAUCGAGCUUAAUCUCAUGUUUCAAUUAUAAUUGAUUUCAUGAGAUCAAUUAGGUUCAAUUCGUAAAAUCAGGUUCAAUCAGGUCGCCUUUCCCUGUUCUAUUUACUACUGAUUUCUCCUCCUCGUAUCUUCUGUCAGUUUACGUCUGAAUCCAAAACAAAUAAAAAUGUCGAUUUGAUCUAGGGCAUGCUUUUAUAUGUGUAUCAAUUUUGGGGAAUACUUCUAUAAAUUCAAUAUAAUGCUUAAAUUGUUUGAUCUGCAGAUUUUUAUUCAAGUUAUGUAAUCAUAACUUGUAUACUAACACUGUAAACUGCUUUUAUGGAUAUUCCUCUGGCAAAAGGAGACAUGUCAAAAUUGUGAAGUUUUUCAUUAAACAUGGUGCUAGAAUUGGUUUCAAAUAUUGAGGAAUUCACUGCGUUGCACUUUGCGGCUCAAAAGCCAGUUUUUUUUUAUGCAGUUGUGAAACCCUCUUGUAUAUGCAGUCAAGUUUGAUCAUUUGAAUGCCUGAGGUUGCUGCUUGAGGUAUUCUGAUUCUACCAUGUAGUGAUGAAGCUGUGGCAGCAUUUCUAGAAAGCUGGAGAGUUAUUGUUGGAACUUUUUUUGAUAAUAUGCCAAAGCUGCUCGUUGCUGAAGCUGCUCAAAAUCUUUGGUUGUAUGCACAAUGCAGUAUCUGCCAAGAUCGUUUGGUGUUUAGUUUCAGAAGUACUUGCAACAGUUUUACCUGGUAUUCUAAUGAAAUUCAUACCAUAAAUGAUCAAUUUGUGAACGGGCUAGUCGAUGCUUCUGCUUGUGGUAAAAUAGAUGCUUUUCAUAUGGCAAUAUAAGUGUUAGGAGGUUUGGUAGCAUAGAUGAAGGCCUGAUAUCAUGUUCAUCAUGGUUAGUCUGGUGUUUGGUAGGCAUGUUGAUACAUUUACAUGGCCCGUGUUAACUUGAAGGCGCCCGACGAAAACAGUCCAAUUUUCCAGUUAAGUUAUCAGGUGAGAGGGGCUACGACAGCUUAUCUGGCUCGCUAAACACACCACGAUUGAAGGGUAAAUUCCAAUUUUGCCUUUGCCAUUUCGCUCCUCAAACGCAUCUAUCUCUCUCAUCUGUUCCAGCGACUGUUGAAGAGGAAUUUGAUCUCGCGGAUUAGCGUGGUGUUGAAACUUUGCAGCCUACACACGGCAUAGCCAGAUGAUGGUGGAGAGGAGCAAGUCGUUGCCGGAGAAAUUGGAGAGGGUUAGCGAGUUGACUCAGAACUGGAUGAAUUGGGGGCGAUGGCUCGAUGAAGGUCACAGUGGCGAAGAUCACCGCCGCCAAGAUGCGGCGGAUGGAGUUUUCCAUGAAUUCGAUUUUCGAAGUGAUGCAAUUAGCAAAUAACAUAAUCGAAUUUUUCACGCAGUUGAAUGUGUUUGUGCGUGUGGCAGUGGGAAUGUGACGUACUGACUUGUCUUCUUGUUAUUCAUACAAUUUAAUUUAAUUUAAUUUAAUUUAAUUUAAUUUAA